AUUGAAGAACUCUGUGGACAGAGGAACAACGAAACUGAAGCUUCUGUUCAUCUUCUUCUGCUGUUGAAGAUGGGAGCUGUUAGAAGCUUCAAAUAUCUCGGAUUUGAUAAUCAACUGCCGUUUAUUGCCAAACCCCCUUACAAUUUCUCUUCCUUCUUCCCAAUUAUUCAGACCUAAUUUUGGCGUUAAAUAUGGAAAUUUUACACUUCCCAGAUCGUCUUCGGUCGCCGUUCGUAGUGUUAGGAGGAAAUAAGGGGGCGGAGCAUUGUUUUAGGGUGAGAAUACAAAGAAAUGGAACAAUCCUCUUCAAUGGAUUGCAAUUAGGAGUUGGGCAUUAGCUCUUUUAAACGAGCAUUCUUGUUGAUAGAUUAGCAAUGGUUUCUUUGAAGAGUCUCUCAUGCUUAUGCAUAUGUAAUUAAUCUUAUACCAUUACAGGGCAAUUAUUAUGGGUGAUUACAACAUAGUAUAUGAUUUAGUAUUUGAAGGGUUACAUUAUCCAACAUGUUCAAAUAUUGCUCCAUUCAGUUAAAAUACGUGGUCGAUUAGCUUACAUUAUUUUUACAUAUCCAAGCAAAUUCCCAAGUAAAUUCGAUGAGGCGUCUUGCUCACAGGAAGGUGUUGUUGACUUGAAGCUCCCAAGAAGGCGUUUGUUAGUAAGUUUUACGUGCGAUGGCUGUGGUGUGCGGUCGCAGAGGUUAAUUGUUUAUGUGCAGGAAACUAUUCAAUAUUAAUUCAAUCCAGCAAGCUGCAGUACUCGAGAAUUUGUCUAACACAAUCAAAUAAAUAUUUUCUCGACUGUGUCAGGUAUUUCUCCAAGUCAUAGGUUAUUCUGUUUCUACCAGAUGCUUAGAACAUCUAAAUCCAGAAAAUAUUUUUGUUACUUUUUUCUUCUAGAUUUAUUAUUAUUGCUCUAAUUUUUUGGCCAGAUAUAGAUUGACUAUUUUAUCGAACAGUGUUCAG